ensembl:lncRNA
CGCUUCCUGGGAACUCGGGCUCGGCGGAGCCCGGGCGGCGGUGACUCAGCGCCUGAGGCGAGGAGGACGGCCGGGGUCCCCUCCCCGCGAGGCCGAAGAGCUUCACCUUCUCGGCCCUUGCCGCCCCCAAAGUUAAGGCCGCCCCGGGGCCGGGCUACGGUGCAGGCUCGCCGCCUCAGCCGGCCCCGAGCGCUGUCCGUCCGUUGGAAGCCCUGAGGAGCUCGGAAGUUUUUCAUUUGGGGCGGGGAAAGGUCUUGAACUUGCUCAGAGUUGUGGGGUGAAGCCACAGCUUUCUGGAGGCAUUUGGGGAACGUGAAGAACGUCAGAGACAAAUUGGUGCUGGCAGUUACUGUGUUGUGGUUUUUCACCUGCGGUCAGCCCUCAGAGAGGAGCAACCCCACCUCCAAGGAGCGAUGGUUACGUGGGUGUAGGAGGGCUGAGAGGAGCUACUCCACAUUCAAGGUCAGGAGGGGCGGCCGUGAGGAGAUACCCCUCAUCCAAGGUAAGGAGCAGCGGCUGCACUUUGCUGGAGCAGCCAUGAAGAGAUACCCCACAUCCAAGGUAAGAGAAAAAGAACUUAGUGAGUAAAAAAAAAAAUGUAGAGAUAAUAAUCUUUACCCUACCCACUUCCUAGGGCUCCUGGGAGGAUCAGAUGAGACAAUGAACGUGACAGUGCCUUGUCAACUGUAAGUGAAAGUGAAAGUGAAAGUGAAGUCGCUCAGUUGUGUCCGACUCUUUGUAAUACUAUGGACUGUAGCCCAGCAGGCUCCUCCUCCGUCCAUGGGAUUUUCCAGGCAAGAAUACUGGAGUGGGUUGCCAUUUUCUUCUCCAGGGGAUCUUCCUGACCCAGGGAUCAAACUCAGGUCUCCCACACUGCAG